rnacentral:lncRNA from 1 species
GUAUUGCGGGUCUAUUGGAAUCAAUGGCAAAUAGCAAGAAUUGGAAUCACCAAAAAUUGCAAUCAGGAGGCUCACACACUCAAAAAUUGCAAUCAAUGUCAUGUGGAAAUCAGCCACGUGAAUUAAGCUUGACAGGUGUUUGAUUGAUUCUUGUUUUGUAGUUUCAUACCCAUUAAUGGAUCGAACACGCCAUCGUCCGUCUCAACGUCGCCGUUCCAUCUCCCGCCGCUGAAGUUUCCGUCGUCGAGGAAAAGAUUGAAAUCGACGUUGUGGUUGAAGAAGUUCCCAGUAUCACGAGAAUUGCGGCGAUUACCAUUGAAGUUUCAGGAAGAUGAAUGAUGGUGUAGAUUCUGUUGGUGCAGAUGAUGAGGAAUUUUGUUGUAGCUGAAACAUACAAAUGGAUGAUUUUUUGGGAGAUGAAUUAUGUUGAGGAAGCAUAAAAAUAUUCAGCACUUGAUUAUGUUUAGGAAGAUGACUUUUUUUAAUGGCUUUUUUCCCUUUGAUCAGAAGCGACGCCAUGGGAACCUUCUUCCCUAGAGCUUAGGCUUUCUUUAUUUUUCUGUCUGUUUCUUUUUUCUCUUUGAAAUUGUGUUGUGGAAGAUUCGUUAUGAUUGAGAAAAUGUUUUAUGGGUUUUGAAAUUGAUUAUUUGUGAUUUUUGGAGAAGAAUAAGUUGUAGA